rnacentral:misc_RNA from 1 species
AAGACCCUGCACUGGCCAAGCAGCGGCAUCACCAAGGGCACAAAUGGUGUGCCCUUCAAUCUGCUUGGUAACCUCUUGAAGCAUGUCAAUUUCUUCCAGCUUUGCAUUUCCAACUUUCAUUCUUUCCAUUAUCAUCCACAGCCAUCCUGUACCUUCUCUGCAGGGAGUGCACUGUCCACAGCUUUCAUGCUUGUAAAAAUAAGAGAGCCUUGCAAUAGCAUCCACAAUAUCAGUUGAUUUAUCCAUAACAAUUACAGCUGCAGUGCCCAAUCCAGAUUGAACAGCCUUUAAUGCAUCAUAAUCCAUAAGUACAUCAUCACAUAUAUGCUUGGGA